rnacentral:rRNA from 1 species
UACGUAGGAGGCAAGCGUUGUCCGGAUUUACUGGGUGUAAAGGGUCCGCAGGCGGGCUUUUUAGUCGGGGGUGAAAUCCUACAGCUUAACUGUAGAACUGCCUCCGAUACUGGAAGUCUUGAAUAUGGUAGAGGGCAACGGAAUUCCAGGUGUAGCGGUGAAAUGCUUAGAUAUCUGGAAGAACACCGGUUGCGAAGGCUGUUGCCUGGGCCAUUAUUGACGCUCAUGGACGAAAGCGUGGGGAUCAAACAGGAUUAGAAACCCGAGUAGU